UUCUUUCUGAAACCAUAAUUGCAUAUUAAGCAUUAGAACUUGCUUUUAAUUUCUUUCUUUUUUACCAUGGCAGUAUAAAUCCCAAAGAGAAACUAUGGGUUCUGGAUUUCGUUGAAGAAAUAUUUUACAGGGAGCAUUCCGUUGGAAUAGCUGGGUAAAGCAAUGGAUGAGGAACGGGCGGAAGCAAUUGGAGCCUGGGAAGCUAUUUGUUGGCGAAGGAAAGAAACAUCACUCAUCUGCAUCUGGAGGGUGAUAAUGCUCACGUAAUAGCAACAUAGAAUGGAAAUACUUCAGUGGUUCAGUGCACAACUAAUUCUAUUGUUAAAGAUUGCUUAACUUUAUUCGUUGAGAUUGAUGAAUGGAAGUGUAGUCAUGUCAUGGUAGGAUGAAUAUAAUUGGGUAUCACAGCACAUGGUUGUAUAAAAUAAGUUGAGUCAUCCGAUCCUUGGGCGCAUACAUUAAAAUGGGUAAGUGAUGCAGACCGUCGAAAAUUGGUACUCGAAUCAGAUAUAUUGGGUCUCUAAUCGUUUGAAUUAGUUUGCAACAUGGGAGAGCUAAGAAAAACCAACCAUUUUCACUUGCCAUAAUCUAGAGAUGGUGCAGUUAUUCUUUAUAUUACAAACUCAAUGCUAAUACACGAAUCUGAAAAACAUUUCAACUGAUAUGUAACAACAUUUUUCAACAAUAACUGCAAAACAACUGGAUCAUCCAAGGAUUCUUCCUAAAGUCUUCUCCAUCAGCUCCAACUCUCCUCUUCUAC